rnacentral:tRNA from 1 species
UGCCCGAUCGUCUAAUGGUAGGACACCGGCUUUUGGCGCCGUAUGUGGGGGUUCAAGUCCUCCUCGGGCAACAA